CGGCGCGGCGCAGGUGUGACGUCACGGGCUGCGCCAGGCGGGAGGCUCGGUGAAAGUGGGCCUUGCUGGCCUCUGAGUAGUCGGCCAGUUACCUCUGUGCCCUAGUGCUUGUGGCGCGUUCUCUUGUUACACCUGAAUAAAGUCCUUAUCCCUUCGCCCUACGGGCACCUUCAGCUCCCGCCCCCACGUCCCGCUGCACUGUGGACGGGACGCAGCCCCGUUCUUGGAGCUCUACGGCAACCGGGCUGAAACGUACUUUGAAGCAGCCAGAAGUGGGGGCUGAUGGGUCUACCAGGAACAGAAGAAGAGACCCAAGAGCCUCUGGUGGAAGGGAGGGAAAUUGGAGCAGUUGAUUCCGAAAGAGCCCAAGAGUGAGGCCAGCAUGUGAGCAUCUCCAAUUUACAGGAUGAAACCAGACUGGAGGGAAUUAGGAAGGUGACAGCUUACAGGCAACCAGUGUGGCAGGCCACCAGUCUGGCAGAGUUGCUUGAGACUCCCAGACCAGCCCCACCACACUACACAUGCAUGGCAACUUCACACUUCUGGACCAAAUAUCCCAUUGAGGACUCCAAUGACAUCUUAGAUUUGUAUGGCUGAAAGCAAGUUUGUGCUUCUUCCACAGUUAAGAGAUUGCCUCAUCUUGGCUCUGGAUGGAAGGCUGCACCUGCUGUUUAUUUGGGGAAUUUUUGUCUUCUGUGAGGUGGAAAAUCAAUUCCUUGCAUGACUGUUAGGUUCUCAAGAGAACUGUUUCUCAGCCUCAAGGCUUAGCAGUCACACUCUGUCACCCCCAACCCACAAUUUACAAUUCUCUGAGCACCCCAGAGGUGGAAAGGCCAUUUUAAGUAAGACUGUAAUGCCCUGUUCAACCUGAACUACUCCCUUGGAGAAUGUACAUGUUACAGAACCAGAAUCUUGGAAUGUACCUGAUCCCCUGUUGCCUAGGCCCCUGGGAUUGAAUUAACUCAUGUCUGUGGAUCACGCCCCCUUCUCACCUGUAAAUUGAAGAUGCUCACAUGCGGCUCAGAGAGCUCCUCUGAACUGUUGGGAAUACAUAUGCAAAUGGCUUGGUGGAUGUGGAUCUGUACUCAGAGACAUUGCUGUUAUUGUUGAUAUUAUUCAUAAAGGUGACUGAAAACCUCCACAAAUCUCCUGGCUGACUCCAUAUUCUAGAAAGAUCCUACUAACUUCAGCUAAUGUUGAGUUACAAGAACAUACAGAUAAAACACUGAUGUAUUUUUGUCA